rnacentral:rRNA from 1 species
AUUGAACGCUGGCGGCAUGCCUAAUACAUGCAAGUCGAACGGGUGGCGGACGGGUGAGUAAUGUCUGGGAAACUGCCUGAUGGAGGGGGCUAACUACUGGAAACGGUCGCUAAUAUCGCAUACCCUCUGAUGUGCCCCGAUGGGAUUAGCUGGUUGGUGGGGUAACGGCUCACCAAGGUGACGAUCCCUAGCUGGUCUGAGAGGAUGACCAGCCACACUGGAACUGAGACACGGGCCAGACUCCUACGGGAGGCAGCAGUGGGGAAUAUUGCACAAUGGGCGCAAGCCUGAUGCAGCCAUGCCGCGUGUAUGAUGAAGGCCUUCGGGUUGUAAAGUACUUUCAGCAGGAAGGCGUUACCCGCAGAAGAAGCACCGGCUAACUCCGUGCCAGCAGCCGCGGUAAUAC